AAACUGGCUUCAUUUUUGAAGCCACUAAUAUUUUCUUUAAAUAAUAAU
rfam:Monodelphis domestica chromosome 5, whole genome shotgun sequence.